CACGUCUUUAGCACAACAGUAGCAGAUUCGGUUGGCAGGAGUGUGAAGACUGGACGAGAUGGUGUCACUCGAGCCCUGUGGACAUUUAAUUAGAGAAAUGAUUGCUCAAAAUCUCUCGCACGCGGAUAUUUCCACAAAUUUAUUACAAUUAGGUGUGCAGCAAGGAUGUUCUGAAAUGAGUGUCAGGAGAUUUUGUGCACAUCACAACAUUUCCAGGAGGGGACAUGUAUCCAACACACAAUUAGAGGUUGCUAUCAGCAGAGCAAUAAAUCAGACAGGGUCAACAUAUGGUCGAAAGAUGAUGACCGGGUACCUGUCUGCAAUGGGAGUGGUUGCUGGUGAACGCCGGGUGGGGAAGAUUUUGAGAACAACUCAUUGUCCCUAUCACGAAAUGCGCAAACGUGGUGCACGUAACCUUAACCCCGUCCCCUACAGUGCUGCAUACAUGGGACACAAAAUCCACAUCGACCAGAAUGAAAAAUUGGUCAUGUUUGGAGUGACACAUGUUCUCGCAAUAGAUGGGUACAGCAGUAAGGUCGUUGCCCACACAACCAUGCCAGUCAA